GCAAGCACAAAGUUUGAUUUUUUUUUAAAUGCACAAUAUCUUACCUUGUGGGGGAGGGUGGGGAGAAAAAGAAUACAACCAAAUGCCAACUUGCAUAUUCUUCAUUUGGGUUUUCUUGGCCUUGGAUUUCCCUCGUGAACCCUCCGUGUAUGUGCUGCAGGCACCCGGUCCUACAGCUGCAUCGAUAUGCCCCCUCCCCCUUCCUUUGAUGAGUCGUUCAACUUUUGUGAUUUCACAGUUAGAGCAGCAUGACUUGGAGCUGUUCAAAGCUGCAUGCACAUUUUGUAUAAAAAAUAUAUGAAAAAGAACGAAAAAACAAGCAAAGAUACAAAAGGUUAUUUAAUAAUGUAUGUUAGCUCCACAUAGGCCGGUUGUAUGUUGCAUGUAGUUGUACAGUCUGCUUGUUAAUUACUAUACCGAAAUAACCAAGAAAUCUAAGCCAUCCAUUUUUGUUAUAGACAUUUUGCAGGUUUUAGCCAGACUCGGUAUGUGGGUCUGGGGUGAAAUGUCUAUAGAUGGACUUUAUUUUUUACCCUCUGGAAAAAAAAAAAAAAAACGUGAUGUAGUCUGGACCAAAAUUCCUUCUAAUAAAUAUUUUGGUGUAGAUUCCUCCUGUGGGGCUGUAACACAUGUAGACACUGUGUAAACACUAGGUUUUAAUCCAUAGACAUACUGCCUGCACCAAGUGAAUCAUUUCUUAUUAUUUACACAUGUCAGAAUUACCUGCCCAUUACUCCACGGGACACAGAUUGACCACCACCCACCAUGCUGUGCAGGAUGACCUGAGGCAAUCGGUGCACUUCUACUAGAUUCCGUUCUGUCUUAGUGGCCAACAACCAAACCAACUAUAAUUGGGUAGUUAUCUUUCUAUUUUGACCACUUGUCUUAACAAACCCCCUCCCCCCCGUGCUUUUCAAUGAACUCCCCACUCAUGUAUGUAAACAUGUUUAAUAAAAUUUCCUUUUCAUGUCAGUUGGCAGCCAUCCGUGUUCUAUGUUUUGCCAGUUUUCCACUGCGGGUCCUCCGGAAAGGGAAAGGGAGGCUUGGGUUUGCUGUCUGCUGUGGGCAUUUGGCUGGCCCGUCACUGCACUCUCUGUGUCUUCAGGGACGACCUGGAAGGCACUUUGCAUUCCCUCUGUCAGCCUGUGUAAGUGAGCACAUGACUGUACGUCUGAAAAGCGGUAUCAUUAAAAACAAUCUCAGUGAGAACCAAGUGACGGUUGUUUCUCUGCUGCUGUUUGAAUGCUAAUAAAAGGAGACAAUCCUGUUGUCCACUU
rnacentral:lncRNA from 1 species